UACGAAGGGGGCUAGCGUUGCUCGGAAUCACUGGGCGUAAAGCGCACGUAGGCGGCUUUCUAAGUCAGGGGUGAAAUCCUGGAGCUCAACUCCAGAACUGCCUUUGAUACUGGGAAGCUCGAGUCCGGGAGAGGUGAGUGGAACUGCGAGUGUAGAGGUGAAAUUCGUAGAUAUUCGCAAGAACACCAGUGGCGAAGGCGGCUCACUGGCCCGGUACUGACGCUGAGGUGCGAAAGCGUGGGGAGCAAACAGG
rnacentral:rRNA from 1 species